AUGAGCUGGACAAAGCACGGAUGUCACAUCUCUGCCAUGCAGGCACAGCCGAGUAACAGGCACUGCCAGGAGAGUUCCAGUGCUCUGGGUGGGCUGCAAGGUGCCAACACAGCUGCUCAGGAGCCCGUCUGCACCCCCUGCCAAGGGACCCACAUCUCACAGCCAGCUGACCUUGGUGCUGCCAACGCCUCUCGAGCCUCAGCAGAGGCUGAUGCUGCCCAAGACCCGCAGAUGCAGCCUCUCACUGGCCACAUGCCCAGGCCACCAUGCUCAUCCUGGUAUAGGAGGGCAAUCCCAGCCCUGGCUGAGCUCGGGACACCUGGACAGACAGACAGCCCCAGCCCAUGGGUGCCUCUGUGUAUGGCAGUGCUCAGGUUAUGGAGGCAUAGCUUGGUGCUGGGCUGCCAGAGGGAUGCCAUGGGAGCAGGGAGAGGGGACCGUGUGCCAAAGAGGAGAACGGGAGGACAAAGGUACGAGAAGCACCCCAUGCUCAAGACCUUGUCCCACCUGCCAAAAACUGUGUUCUGUGCACCAAGCACCCUGUGGCCACCUCAGCACACCCUGCACUGCACCGAGCACCCUGCACCCAGCACCACUUGUGACCCCAGCACCAAGCAUCCUGCACUGGGCACCCAGCACCGAGCAUCCUGCGCUGGACACCCUGCUCCGAGAAUCCUGUGCUGGGCACCCAACACCGAGCAUCCUGUGCUGGGCGCCCAGCACUGCUCCGAGCAUCCUGCGCUGGGUACCCAGCACCAGGCACCCAGCACUGAGCAUCCUGCGCUGGGCACCCGGCACCGCUCCGAGCAUCCUGCGCUGGGCGCCCUGCUCCGAGCAUCCUGCGCUGGGCGACCUGCUCCGAGCAUCCUGCGCUGGGCACCCAGCACCGUUCCGAGCAUCCUGCGCUGGGCGCCCUGCUCCGAGCAUCCUGCGCUGGGCACCCGGCACCGCUCCGAGCAUCCUGCGCUGGGCACCCGGCACCGCUCCGAGCAUCCUGCGCUGGGCACCCAGCACCGCUCCGAGCGCUCCGCACCGAGCACCCAGCACCGAGGACCGCUCUGUGUCCCCAGCCCCGUUCCGAUCACGCAUCACCGCCCGGCACCCCCAGCACCGCGCACCCCCCCGCACUGCGCACCGAGCAUCCCCCGCCGCUCCGCGCCACCAACCGAGCCCCGAGCCGGUAGCAGGCAGCUCCCGCCGCGCAGCCCGGCCGCUGCCACCUGCCAGCCGGGGGGACAAACGGCGGGGGCACACGCGGUACCCAGGCCGGGCCGGGCCGCUCCCCUCGGUGCCCCCCGCACUCACCGGGGCCGCCGCCGGCCCGGAGCGGCGCGAGACGCGGCGACGUCACGCGCACGCGGGGCCGGGAUCUCCGCCCGCCGCUCCGCGCCUGCGCCGCGCGCGCCGCGCACCGGGCGGCACCGGGGGGCACCGGGGGGCACCGGGCGGCACCGGGGGGCACCGGGGGGCACCGGGCGGCACCGGGGGGCACCGGGGGGCACCGGGCGGCACCGGGGAACCGAUCCCGGCACCGAGCCCGUGUCCCUGUCCCUGUCCCUGACCGUGUCCGUGCCGGUACCGGCCGUGGCCGAGCAGCCGUCCCCAAGAGUUGCCAGGAGCGCUCCGCACCGCUCUGCCCGCGGCCUCACCGUUAUCCCCGCUCCCCGCCUCCGUCCCGGUGUUGCCUAUGUGCAGAGCCCGGCAGCGCUGCCGUCACUGCUAUCGCUGUAA
ensembl:lncRNA